AUUGAACGCUAGCGGGAUGCUUUACACAUGCAAGUCGAACGGAGUGGCGGACGGGUGAGUAAUAUAUCGGAACGUGCCCAGUAGCGGGGGAUAACUACUCGAAAGAGUGGCUAAUACCGCAUACUAUUGUAUCGCCCGAUAUCGGAUUAGCUCGUUGGUGGGGUAAAGGCUCACCAAGGCAACGAUCCGUAGCUGGUUUGAGAGGACGACCAGCCACACGGGGACUGAGACACGGCCCAGACUCCGACGGGAGGCAGCAGGGGGGAAUGUUGGACAAUGGGGGAAACCCUGAUCCAGCCAUCCCGCGUGGAUGAUGAAGGCCUUCGGGUUGUAAAGGACUUUUGGCAGAGAAGCGGUAUCUGCAGAAUAAGCACCGGCUAACUACGUGCCAGCAGCCGCGGUAAUUC
rnacentral:rRNA from 1 species